rfam:Gongylonema pulchrum genome assembly, scaffold: GPTH_contig0014361
GGAUCGGUGGUGUAGUGGUAGCACGUUGCCUGCGGAUGUGAAGAGGAGUGGUUCGAUUCUUUCCCGGUCCA